UCCUACGGGGCGCAGCAGUGGGGGAUAUUGCCCAAUGGGGGAAACCCUGAUGCAGCGACGCCGCGUGGGUGAAGAAGCGCCUCGGCGCGUAAAGCCCUGUCCGCAGGGAAGAAAAUGACGGUACCUGACUAAGAAGCCCCGGCUAACUACGUGCCAGCAGCCGCGGUAAUACGUAGGGGGCAAGCGUUAUCCGGAUUUACUGGGUGUAAAGGGAGCGUAGACGGCGGCGCAAGUCCGGAGUGAAAGCGCACGGCCCAACCGU
rnacentral:rRNA from 1 species